rnacentral:rRNA from 1 species
AACGUAGGACGCAAGCGUUAUCCGGAGUUACCGGGCGUAAAGCGCGGGCAGGCGGCUCGAAACGUCUGAUGUGAAAUCUCCUCGCUCAACGGGGAGAGGCCAUUGGAAACGGUCGAGCUGGAGGGCAGUAGAGGUAGGCGGAAUUCCGGGUGGAGUGGUGAAAUGCGUAGAGAUCCGGAGGAACACCAGAGGCGAAGGCGGCCUACUGGGCUGCACCUGACGCUGAGCCGCGAAAGCCAGGGGAGCGAACGGG